rnacentral:rRNA from 1 species
GUGGGGAAUAUUGGACAAUGGGCGAAAGCCUGAUCCAGCCAUGCCGCGUGUGUGAAGAAGGUCUUCGGAUUGUAAAGCACUUUAAGUUGGGAGGAAGGGCAGUAAGUUAAUACCUUGCUGUUUUGACGUUACCGACAGAAUAAGCACCGGCUAACUUCGUGCCAGCAGCCGCGGUAAUACGAAGGGUGCAAGCGUUAAUCGGAAUUACUGGGCGUAAAGCGCGCGUAGGUGGUUCAGCAAGUUGAAGGUGAAAUCCCCGGGCUCAACCUGGGAACUGACUCCAAAACUACUGAGCUAGAGUACGGUAGAGGGUAGUGGAAUUUCCUGUGUAGCGGUGAAAUGCGUAGAUAUAGGAAGGAACACCAGUGGCGAAGGCGACUACCUGGACUGAUACUGACACUGAGGUGCGAAAGCGUGGGGAGCAAACAGGAUUAGAUACCCUUGUAGUCC